UACAGAGGUCCCAAGCGUUGUUCGGAUUCACUGGGCGUAAAGGGUGUGCAGGUGGGUUUGCAAGUUCGAUGUGAAAGCCCCGGGCUUAACCCGGGAAUGGCAUUGGAUACUGCAGAUCUGGAGGAUCGGAGGGGGGACUGGAAUUCUUGGUGUAGCAGUGAAAUGCGUAGAUAUCAAGAGGAACACCAGUGGCGAAGGCGAGUCCCUGGACGAUACCUGACACUGAGGCACGAAAGCUAGGGGAGCAAACAGG
rnacentral:rRNA from 1 species